rnacentral:rRNA from 1 species
UACAGAGGUCUCAAGCGUUGUUCGGAUUCAUUGGGCGUAAAGGGUGUGUAGGUGGCGCGCUAAGUCGGGUGUGAAAUUUCGGAGCUUAACUCCGAAACUGCAUUCGAUACUGGCGUGCUUGAGGACUGGAGAGGAGACUGGAAUUUACGGUGUAGCGGUGAAAUGCGUAGAUAUCGUAAGGAAGACCAGUGGCGAAGGCGGGUCUCUGGGCCGAUACUGACGCUGGAGGAGCGAAAGCGUGGGGAGCGAACAGG